rnacentral:rRNA from 1 species
UACGGGGGGGGGCAAGCGUUGUUCGGAAUUACUGGGCGUAAAGGGCUCGUAGGUGGCCAUCUAAGUCAGACGUGAAAUCCCCCGGCUUAACCUGGGAACUGCGUCUGAUACUGGACGGCUUGAGUAUGGGAGAGGGAUGUAGAAUUCCAGGUGUAGCGGUGAAAUGCGUAGAUAUCUGGAGGAAUACCGGUGGCGAAGGCGGCAUCCUGGACCAAUAUUGACGCUGAGGAGCGAAAGCCAGGGGAGCAAACGGG